rnacentral:lncRNA from 1 species
CUUGAAGAUAGGCAUUUUAGGUUUUGGUCCUUUUGCACGGUUCCUGGCAAAAACCAUGGUAAAACAAGGCCAUUCCAUAAGGGCCACAUCAAGAUCAGACUACACAGACCUCUGCAUUCACUUGGGCGCCCUAUUUUUCAGGUAUAAGAUAUAUUCAAAGUUUUCCAAAAACCAUGUAAAUUUUCCAAAACACAGUUUGCUGAUAAGCUAAAAUGUACACACGUCUACGAAGGAACGGAGAUAUGACUGCGUUUCUUGAAUCAAACAACGAUGUUAUACUGCUAUGCGCAUCGAUCCUGUCAGUGUCAAAAGUCAUCAAGUCAAUUCCAUUCCAUGCCUUGAAGCAGCCUGCACUUUUCGCCGAUGUACUCUCAGUUAAAGAGUACCCAAGAGACCUGCUGCUCCAAGUAUAUAUGCAAAUUUCUUAAUGUUUCAAUACAAAUGACCUCUAUUAUUUUAUUUAUUUAUUUAUUUAUUUCAUAUAUUUAUUUUUGGCUCUUAACCUAAUAUGGGUCGCAAUAUAAUGUUUCAUAAAUGUCGUGCCUCAAGAUUCGGAUGUGCUCUGCACUCACCCGAUGUUCGGGCCGGAGAGCGGGAAAGAUGGUUGGAAAGACUUGACUUUUAUGUUUGAUAGAGUUCGAAUAAGAAAUGUAGUUACAUGCUCCAGUUUCCUUCGAAAUUUUGCAAGAGAGGUAAGCACUAAUUUCUUGUAGCAGAUUUCAGUAGUAAAGAGUUUUAAUAUCCUUUAUCAACACAAAAACCAAGUUUCCUAUAAUCCUCAUUGAACCCAUGUAAAACAUUAAUAAUACUGUACAACAUAACAGCUCAAAUUCAAGGCCAACUACUCUAAAAGGGUUAUUAAAAAUUUAAUUCCAAAUUAAUAAUUAAUUUUAACAACACAUCUCAUUGGACUCACAAUUUUUUAUCAAAUUUUCAACUACAUAUUUCAUUGGUCCAAAUCAAGUUAAUUUUGUUGAGUUAAAGAACAAGGGGUCUCUUUUUAAUGGUCAAGGUGAAGUGACGACAUUUUCUUUAUAUAUAUAAGAGCAAUCGAUUUAAUUAAAGAAAAAAAAUUUAUAUUUGGUGACAUGUUGAACAUCGAGGCUAACUUUUAGAAUUGAAUUCUCUAAUGUUUGUAUUCAAGUGAAGUAGAGUAAUAUGCAAAUAUAGGAAUGUUUGAGGAUUGUUUCAAGUGAUGAAUAGAUAAAAUAAGCCAAUGGAGUGUGUGUGUGUGAAAAGGGGGCCUCGUCAGAUACUUUUAUAAAGAUUCGUUCCAAAUUGACAGUUCCCUCAACCUCAUCCAGAGCGCUCUCUCAUAAUCUACUUAUCCAGAUGUAGAUGAUAAGCAAGUUGCCUUGUCAUAAUUAGCUAAACAAUUAUUCUCCUAAAAGGAAUGUCGUGUAGAUGGGUGAGCUGUUAAAUCAUUUUAUUAGCAUGUUAUAUGAGUAUUAAAUAUUUCAAAAUAUUUAAAGUUAUUUUUUUAAAGCAAUAAGAAAGUAUUUAGGUGAUUUUACCCUAGUUUGCACUUUUGUGAAUGUGUUUCCACGGUGUAUAAUCCUAUAUGGUUAUUUUACCCACUCUAUAUUGGUGUGAAUGUAUUUCCACAGUGUAUAAUCAGUUAUGAUGAUUUUAUCCGCUCUACACUAUUGUGAAUGUGUUUCUAUAGUGUAUGACUAGAUUAUAACCUUUUGGGUAGCUCUACGCGCGUAUGACCAGAAUUACAGAAUUUUAUAAUCUCAGAAUUUUCGAAUUAUCAGAAUUGAAUAGCUUUGUCAUGUAUAUCAGUAUUAAUCAAUACAUGAGUAGGGCUAUUUUAGGUACAUUUUUGUUGCGACUUUUCAAUAUCAUGCAGCUUAUCAAAUUUCAGAUCACAGAAUUUAACUUAUUCAACUUAAAAAAUGAAGAUUUUAGCUUAUAUUACGAAGAAAGAAUAUUUAUAUUAUAUACAUUUUUCAGAAUGUUGGUUUAAAUGGAAAAAGUAUAUUUAUUUGGAAAAUAUCCACUCAUUGAGUUACAAACUCAUAUAUUUUGUCAUCCUUUUCUUAACGAUAGUAGCUGAGUUGAGCAGCAUUGGAGCAUGUUGAUUUAUCGAGUUGAGCCAUACAUUCGUUAUUUGUCCGAUUCAUCUUGUUAGUUUAUAUAGUUCAUAUUUUUGGGAUACAUGAAUUUUUACCAGAAAAAGUAUCUAUAUAAUGGGUUCACUGCAUAUUUUUGUAUAUGUUGUGUAUUUGGAGUCGUCUGGUUAAAGGAUGUAAAUUUCAUUCCAAUGCAUUUUAAUUUGAAUAGUUGGUAUUCUAAGGGGUUGGUAUACCCUGUUUUUAUCUUAUAUGUAUUGAUUUUAGAAAAUUGAUUAUUGUUCAGGUCCUUUUAGUCAAUAUUUUAGAUGAAAUUCUAUCAAUUUUUUUUAAAAAUUCAUUACAGUUAAAGCAGAUUAAAAUUGCCUUGGUAGUGGGUUCAGUACUUCGUUGGUAUCUACCAUCGACGCACGACACGUGUCGGGUCCACUAGGGUAAUUUGGGACUGGUCAUGUCAUGUACGCUUAUAACUAUCAUUAUUUUUAUGUUUCUUAUGUUCUCUUUACAAUAAUAUUUAAUUCAUUUAGUACUAUUGUAAUUAAUAUAUGCUCCUUCAUAUUUUAAUUAUGGUUAUACUGAAUUGGUUUUGCAAGCAAGAUGACACGAACUAGAGGAGGCUAUAAAUAUAGUAAAUCAAGUUACGAGAGAUCCACAAGGGAUGGUGGUAAGAGAUCCACAAGCUACGAUUAUUGAUAUUGUGAGGCUAAUAUUUCCAAUGAUGAUAUGGAAAAUGAGGAUAUAGAUGAACCAUUGUAUCAAGAAGACAUGCUAUCUAGAUCUAAUAAUUGGGCUAGCACGGUCAUAGGUAAUCUUAAAUAUACAUUUAUUGAGCAUUGUGAAAGAUGUGUGUAAAUGGGCUGCACUUUAUGUGUUCAGAAUUAUUUUUAGAUAUAAGCUUCAGCUACACAUUCUUAAAAAACAAAAAGAGCUACCAAUAACUAUUAAAAGAUGCUAAUUGCUUAGCAACAAAUUUAACUAUUGUUGUUUUGAAAUGGUUUUGCAAGCAUUAUGUCACCAACUAGUGAAGGAUAUACUGGCCAAGCAAGUCAACAGGGAUCUAUACAAUAUGGUGAUGGGGGAUCUGUAUUUGAUGGAUAUGGUAAUCGUGCAGCUAAUAUUUCCAAUCAUAAGGUCAAAGACGAGCUCAUGGAUGAUGAACUUUAUCAAGAACAUAUGUUUGGAUCUAAUAGGCCCAAGGGUGACAUGUAUAUUUAAGUAUCCAUUUUUCAAAUAUCCUUGAUGUCCUUUAGUAAAUUGUAAAGAAAAAACUGGACUUACAGGAUGAAAUAUUUUUAACAAAUAGGAAUGAUGAUGGGAAAAGAUUCCAGUGCGUACAAUUUCUAUCAUCUUAAUUAAAACCAUGGAUGAGAUUUCCUCAACUACAAAUUGCUUCUCUUUGCACUUGUAUGGAUUCUUCUAGGCGAUUGAACAUCACGAUGCUCUAGGUCAUAUUCUUGCUGCUUUGGAGUGGGAUAUUGUUGUUGGGGCCUAUUUCUAGGCUUUGAAGGUCCAAUCCGAUAAAAAAUGUUGACGGGCAUCUACUGGUCAGGUUCUUGUGCAUAUUCUGGGGGGAAGUUUCCAACCUCCUGUGCUAGGUUAUCUCCAGAUCUAGUUGGGGUAUAUCUUGAGGAUACAUCCAUGCCUACUUCCCUCUCAAUUGGGCUCGACUCCCUUGUUUGCUCUUGCUAAUAGCCUCGUGUCAUCCUUCUGAUAAAAUGUUUCGUAUUGAGGAACUUGAUAUCUUGCUUGCCCAUGCAUCUGUACAAGUAAUUGUUGCAUAUUAGCGUUCUGUUGGGCUAUGUUUCUUUGUUUUCUGCCUUUUCCUCCACCUCCCUCGCUAGACGAGCGGUAGUGUCGCCUCGUCGAUGCUGGUGGUGCGGUCAACGGGUGGUGACAUUUGUUUCGAAAGACUUCCUCUUUAGAAGCCUCAUGUUGAUAGCCUCUGCUUUGGGAGCCAUAAUGGCUGGAACUCAUGGUAUAUCGCUGAUUUUUGCGUUCACAAAUUCCAAUUUUUUUCUUGAUGUCUUUUUCAUUUUGUUCUUUUCAUUGAAGAAAUUAAACCUUUCUUCAGGGCUCGGUUGUUGCACGAUUUCUCUUGAGAUGGCUUUCAUCGCUAGGAGCAGUUUCUCACAGACGGCGUCAAUCUGUUGGCCUAAAAAAAUGCACCUCUGAUAUGUCAACAGAUCCCAAGGCCUCUCAUGUCAUUGUAAGCUUUGUUCCUACAUAAUAGGACAAUUGCUAGUCACACAUGGCCUUCUCUGAUGGGGAUGGAGCCGGCCGUGCGCACUCUGAUGGUCAAGUUAGCUUUGGGAGAACAAAUGUGUGUGGGAGAGCUUUGAACGUGAGCCUCCAAAGUAAAAGGGGCCAGUUUUGGGAAUAAUGUAGAGAGUAAAGUUAUAAUAUGGAAGUUUAAACUUGCAUUACCUUGAAAUGACACCAAAUGUGAGCUUUUAUAGUGUAAGAGAAUGAGUAAGGACCGUCGGAUGAAGACACGUGACCUCAUUUACGUGAUUGGAACUUCCCAUAGUGGGCAUUAAUCAGAACUUCCCAUAGUGGGCAAUAAUCAGUCAUGGGACAAAUGGUAAUAUCACUUUGUUAUCCAUAAAUCCUAGCUUGUGGCAGUAGACUUGACUAAACAAGUUGGCUAUGGCGGUUGCAGGGAGUUGUCAUAUCAAUCAUGUCAACAAAUUCAAAUACAAGAUUUCCUGCCAGGUUCUUUCCUCGGCUUCGCCUCUGCUCGCGUAUGAGGGUUCAGCCACGUCCCACGUGGGAUCGGCUUGUGGACUGCAGGGGUUAUAACAGAUGUCAUUAGGGUCCUUUUAUUAUGGUUACGUUGCUUUCAAAUCGGAUGAUUGCAAAUGUUUCUUCAAGACCAGGCAUUGUGAAAGUCGGCGCUAUUUUCAUUCUCGACAUGACAAUCGAAAGAGUUGUCAUUGCUAAGAUUGCUAUAGAGGAGGCUGUUAAAGAUGUGAAUUCUCAUUCGAGUGUCC